rnacentral:rRNA from 1 species
UUCCGUAGGUGAACCUGCGGAAGGAUCACUAAAGUAAACGCCCUCUGGGGCUCUCUUUAUUCACACACCCCUGUGCACUUUGGCCACCUGCCGCGCUUAACUGCGUUAGUAGGUGUGUCUCUUUAAUUAUACCCAUAUACACAAGUCAUUGAAUGUAAAAUCGUUAUAAACUAAUAUAACUUUCAACAACGGAUCUCUUGGUUCUCGCAUCGAUGAAGAACGCAGCGAAUUGCGAUAAGUAAUGUGAAUUGCAGAAUUCAGUGAAUCAUCGAAUCUUUGAACGCAUCUUGCGCUCUUUGGUAUUCCGAAGAGCAUGCCUGUUUGAGUGUCAUGAAACUCUCACCUCCAGCCUCCUUUAAUUAGAGGUGUUGGGGCGUGGACGUGAGUGCUGCUGGUGCCCUGGUUGCAUCGGCUCACUUGAAAUACAUUAGCUGAAUCCUCUAGAGGUGGUUCUACUCGACGUGAUAAGAUCUCCGUCGAGGACAGUGCAACUUGUUGUGCUGGCCGCCGCUAGCAGUUGAUACGCUUCUAAUUAGCGCAGACUUCGAGUGCUGGCAACUUUUGACAACUUGGCCUCAAAUCAGGUAGGACUACCCACUGAACUUAAGCAUAUCAAUAAGCGGAGGAA